rnacentral:rRNA from 1 species
GAUUAACGCUGGCGGCGUGCAUGAGACAUGCAAGUCGAACGGACGAUCGGGCUUGCUCGAUCGUUAGUGGCGGACGGCUGAGUAACGCGUGAGUGACCUGCCCCGAAGUGGGGAAUAACUGCCCGAAAGGGUGGCUAAUACCGCAUGUGGUGACUGGUUCGUUCCAGUCUCCAAAGCCGCAAGGCGCUUCGGGAGGGGCCUGCGUCCGAUUAGCUCGUUGGUGGGGUAACGGCUCACCAAGGCGACGAUCGGUAGGUGGUCUGAGAGGACGAUCACCCAGACUGGGACUGAGACACGGCCCAGACUCCUACGGGAGGCAGCAGUCGGGAAUUUUGCUCAAUGGGCGAAAGCCUGAAGCAGCAACGCCGCGUGAGGGAUGACGGCCUUCGGGUUGUAAACCUCUUUUCUCAGGGACGAUAGUGACGGUACCUGAGGAAUAAGCCACGGCUAACUACGUGCCAGCCGCCGCGGUAACAC